rnacentral:rRNA from 1 species
AUUAGUGGCGAACGGGUGAGUAACACGUGAGUAACCUGCCCUUGACUCUGGGAUAAGCACUGGAAACGGUGUCUAAUACCGGAUACGAACUUCCACCGCAUGGUGAGGGGUUGGAAAGAAUUUUGGUCAAGGAUGGACUCGCGGCCUAUCAGCUAGUUGGUUAGGUAAUGGCUCACCAAGGCGACGACGGGUAGCCGGCCUGAGAGGGUGACCGGCCACACUGGGACUGAGACACGGCCCAGACUCCUACGGGAGGCAGCAGUGGGGAAUAUUGGACAAUGGGCGAAAGCCUGAUCCAGCAAUGCCGCGUGGAUGAAGAAGGUCUUCGGAUUGUAAAGUCCUUUCGGCGGGGACGAUAAUGACGGUACCCGCAGAAGAAGCCCCGGCUAACUUCGUGCCAGCAGCCGCGGUAAUACGAAGGGGGCUAGCGUUGCUCGGAAUGACUGGGCGUAAAGGGCGCGUAGGCGG